UACGGAGGGGGCUAGCGUUGUUCGGAAUUAUUGGGCGUAAAGCGCACGUAGGCGGUUCUGUAAGUUAGAGGUGAAAGCCCGGGGCUCAACUCCGGAAUUGCCUUUAAGACUGCAUCGCUAGAAUUGUGGAGAGGUAAGUGGAAUUCCGAGUGUAGAGGUGAAAUUCGUAGAUAUUCGCAAGAACACCAGUGGCGAAGGCGGCUCACUGGCCCGAUACUGACGCUGAGGCGCGAAAGCUAGGGUAGCAAACAGG
rnacentral:rRNA from 1 species